CUGUUAAGUGAUGAUGUGGCAGAUAGAGUGUCAUGUCAUCAUGCCUUGUCACAGACACCUCAUUGUCACAUCAUCACCUUCAAUGACAUGUCAAUGAUUGGACGUGAUGAUGUGACACUCUGUCUACCAAGUCAUCACUUAAUGGAA
rfam:Glycine max cultivar Williams 82 chromosome 16, whole genome shotgun sequence.